UCAGUCUUUUUCCAACUUUUGUCACUUACGCCUGACAGAAAUAAAAGUCAGUCACCAAAACACAGUUUUUCAACACGUAGUGUGUAUUUAUAAUUUUUCAUUGCUGAUAUAAGAGGAUGGCUGAAAGCAUGGCACAAAAAUUAAGACUUCCUGAAAAGACGAGAGCGUAGACUUUCUGGUAAAUCCCUUUCUAAUGUAAAAUAUGACAGAUUACUGUAGUAAGGAAAUUUCUAGUAUACUACAGGCUAUCACACAUAAUUUUUGAGAAUUUGGCAACAGUUGCCCUUUAUUCCCAAACGUUAUGGGGGGAGGAGGAGAGAAUGGAUAUUUCAGCUGCCUGAAAUAAUCUGUUCCCCCUCCAUAACAUGGGAACAAAUUAAUUCACCAACAAGUCUUUAACUGUGUUUAUUCCUCUUAUCAUCAAUAAUAAAUUGUGUGAAUUUGGUAAUAUUUGCUCAUUAUUUGCCAAAGUUAUAAGGGGGGAACCAUAUAUUUUAGCCACCUAAAAUAAUCCGUUCCCCCUCCAUAAAAUGGGAACAAAUUAAUUCACCAACAAGUCUUUAACUCUGUUUAUUCCUCUUAUCAUCAAUAAUAAAUCGUGUGAAUUUGGUAACAUUUGCUCAUUAUUUGCCAAAGUUAUGAGGGGGGGACCACUCUGGGAAUCAACAAUCAACACCACCACUGGACUUUAGUGGUAAUAAAUGUUUUUAAACUCUAAAAACAAUCUAUAUCAUACUUAUCACAUAGACAAAAACCACAUUAAACACAUAUGCGUCAAAUGGGAUUUAUAGUAAAGUUUUGUCACACAAGUAGCAUUUUUCAUCAGGCAUCGACACAGCCACGUACAAUUUAGAAACAUCUGCGGUGCGCAUAGGUUUCAACCGGUUAAUUUAACCACCCGUUAAUCCGUAACACCGGAGGCUUGACAUUAGCGGUUUGCAAUGUUGGCUUUUUAGAUGCACACAUCGCCAAUAUUUCAAGUCAUACAGCUAUACAAGUCUUACUGGUGGUGUAAAAUAACAACUAGAACUUACCAAAUAUAACAGAAUUCAAAUGUACCCGUUCGCCUACAUUUGGCGAAACGGUGGAACCUUGAGUUAGGUUAAUUUUCCAUGCAAAAUGGGUUAAAUAUGGCGCCUUUGUUGAAGUCAAAUACUAAAAAACACAAUUUCCAACGAAACAAUAGUCAAGUCUGGUUAUUUUGCUUACCUCUAGGAAAGAAUUGUGUCUCGUGUGCAACAAGAUGCCGUAACGCGAAGACACGGCUUCUUCUUUUUUUCUAUUAUGCGGGAAUCGCAAGCAACUUUAAGGUGCAUACCGCCACCUACUGUACACGAGUGUGUAGUAACACUACUUUACAUCUAUUAAAUUCUUUUUUUAUUUUAUUUCGUAUUUUAAAGAUAGGUCAAUAAUGCUCCCCUUAACCUUUAACUAUCCCCUGUGUUUGAAGGCGUGGCUUAAGCAACACUAACCAAUGAAUACCGGAAUUUAAGAACGCAAAUAUGCGGAGGUUAAAUUGGCAGUGAUAUUUUAAAGCGGUGUGAUGUUAAAACAACACGCACACUUUUUAUUUAGUGCUACACCUAAGAUUUUUUUUUUUGAAUUCUGUUGUCUUUUCUCUUUAUCUCAUUUCUCCGUCAACUCGUGUCACAUGACUUGAGUUGACCAACAACUAAAGGAGAAGACCUGCUCCACUUGAUGAUCUACUGGUUGUAGCAGAUUGUGGAAAAGCAUAACUGAGACAAUACAACAACACUGGGCCAAUCAGGAGAGAGAAGACAGAAAUGAUGGAGGAUUCUUCAUAAAAUUAAGAAAAUUAUGGGCAACUCUGACCAUCCUCUUCAUGAGACCGUCUUGAAAAAACAUAGUAUCAUCAGUCAGAGGCUUCUUCAAAUUGCUGUAACACAGACCGCUACAAUAGAUCUUUCCUGCCAACAGCAAUCAGCCAUCUGCAAUAACUCUGUGAAGAAUCUGAAUUGAUGAGCUACAACCUUUAAUUUUCCUUUUGGCUCAAUAAAGUAUUUUUGAAUUUAA